CAUCGCCAGGGAACUACGAGCCAAGCUUAAAACCCAAAGGACUUGACGGUACCCCACAUCCACCUAGAGGAGCCUGUCCUGUAAUCGAUAACCCCCGCUUAACCUCACCAUUUCUAGUUAAAUCAGCCUGUAUACCUCCGUCGUCAGCUUACCUCGUGAGCGAAAUUUAGUGAGCUUAAUGUCCCUACAUCAAUACGUCAGGUCAAGGUGCAGUAAAUGAAAUGGGAAGAGAUGGGCUACACUCUCUAAUCUAGAACAUACGAAAGACUAUAUGAAACCCUAGUCAGAAGGCGGAUUUAGCAGUAAAAAGGAACCAUAGUGUCCUUUUUAACCCGGCACUGGGGUGUGUACAC
rnacentral:rRNA from 1 species